UACGAAGGGAGCUAGCGUUGUUCGGAAUCACUGGGCGUAAAGCGCACGUAGGCGGAUGGGUCAGUCAGGGGUGAAAUCCCGGAGCUCAACUUCGGAACUGCCCUUGAUACAGCACGUCUUGAGUCCGGAAGAGGUGGGUGGAAUUCCUAGUGUAGAGGUGAAAUUCGUAGAUAUUAGGAAGAACACCGGUGGCGAAGGCGGCCCACUGGUCCGGUACUGACGCUGAGGCGCGAAAGCGUGGGGAGCAAACAGG
rnacentral:rRNA from 1 species